rnacentral:rRNA from 1 species
UUACUCCUACGGGAGGCAGCAGUAGGGAAUCUUCCGCAAUGGACGAAAGUCUGACGGAGCAACGCCGCGCGAGUGAUGAAGGCUUUCGGGUCGUAAAACUCUGUUGUUAGGGAAGAACAAGUGCUAGUUGAAUAAGCUGGCACCUUGACGGUACCUAACCAGAAAGCCACGGCUAACUACGUGCCAGCAGCCGCGGUAAUAAU